CAGUCACAAACCUUGCUCUAUCAGUACUUAACUUGGAUCCAAAAGCUGCUUUCAGGGCAGCAUCUCGAGUAUUUUUUUGUCUGUGGCUAGAUUUAACUCUUUUUAGAAAAUCUUUCAUUAUUGUUUGGAUUGUAAACAGAAAGGCAUAGCUGUCAGAUUCCACAUCAAAAUAAAACAGAAUAUCGUUCCGUUUAAUCCCUUUAAUUGCAUUUUCAAAGUUGCUCUGUUCUCCCUUAGGUAUUCUAAGCUGACCAGGAUUUCUUACAUCACAGGGACUUCUUGGCUAAUUUUCUAACUACAAAUAUUAAAUUAUUGACAGAUAGCCCAGUAAUCAUAUUGAAUGAUUUGACUAUUCUCUCUGGCUUAUCGCUAAAUACCAGGUCAAUCUGAGUCUUUGAAGACUGUAUUAUCUUGUUGGGGCCUUAAUUAACUGUGUAAGAGUUAUGCGCUUAAGAGUUUUCCUGUUACAUUUGUCUUCCCAAUUUAUGUUAAAUCCCCCAUUAAAAUGGCUUCUUUCUCAAAAUUGCAUUCUUUUAACAUGCUGUUCAAUCGGUCAAAAUUGAAUUUCCCAUUUGAAGUACCCAUUGAAACAUUACGGGAAUUUCCCCAUUUCCCAUAAAAUUUGUUCACACUGAACUAAUCACGCACCAGUCCGACGCAGAGGAAGAUACAACUUGUUUUUUUCAUUCGCCCCCACAGGUCCAAGGUGUCACAGACGCCCCAUCCCCGCCCCUAGCCGAAAGCCUGAGUGUGAUUCGAACCUGGCUCCAAGACGGCACUUCAUAAGUCUUUAACAGGAAGUCACUGCUAACCACUGCUACCCUGCAUCAAAAAGGGCUGUGUGUCAAAUGCACUGGAAGGCCUGUGGUUGUGUCUGUACCCACACACUAGGGGAACUUCCUGUUAUAAGCUUAGACACUGAACAGAAACUUUGCAAUGAGUCAUGUAUUUUCUUUUUUUUGUUUCACUUCCGCUAUAUUAUAUUUAUGUGGAGUAUGGAGGGGGCAGCUACAUGUUGUUUUUUUAAUGUAAGAUUCAUUAUUAUAUAGGGACUGGUGUUUAGUUGUUAAAUUGCUUUUUUUUUGUACGAUGUA